rnacentral:rRNA from 1 species
AACGAACGCUGGCGGCGCGCCUAAUACAUGCAAGUCGAGCGAGAAGACGUAGCAAUACGUUUGUAAAGCGGCGAACGGGUGAGGAAUACAUGGGUAACCUACCCUCGAGUGGGGAAUAACUAGCCGAAAGGUUAGCUAAUACCGCAUACGAUUCCCGGACUGCGGUUCGGGAAAGAAAGCGAUACCGUGGGUAUCGCGCUCUUGGAUGGGCUCAUGUCCUAUCAGCUUGUUGGUGAGGUAACGGCUCACCAAGGCUUCGACGGGUAGCUGGUCUGAGAGGACGAUCAGCCACACUGGCACUGCGACACGGGCCAGACUCCUACGGGAGGCAGCAGUAAGGAAUAGUGCGCAAUGGACGAAAGUCUGACGCAGCGACGCCGCGUGGGGGAUGAAGGUCUUCGGAUUGUAAACCCCUUUCGGCAGGGAAGAUGGAACGGGCAACCGUUCGGACGGUACCUGCAGAAGCAGCCACGGCUAACUUCGUG